AUCCACUAUAACUAAAAAAAUUUAAAUAAACCUUUUUAUCCAAAUUUUAGUAAUUUACAACAAAUAUUAAAAAAAGAGAAAUUUGUUCAGACGGGUCAUAGUUGCAGUUGCAGAUAUCAUGUUACCGCCAAUCAGAUGGAAGCGCAUUUUAUGGCUCCAAUGGUUAGGAGAAAACACAACAGGAGAAUCAAUUAUCUUCUG
rnacentral:misc_RNA from 1 species